GAUCAUUAUUGAAAUAAACCUGAUGAGUUGCUGCUGGUUCUCUAGGGAGCAUGUGCACACUUGUCAUCUUUAUAUCUCCACCUGUGCACCUUUUGUAGACCUGGAUAGCUCUCUGAAUGCUAGCUAGCCUAGCAUUCAGGUUUGAGGAUUGACUUUCUUGGUCUCUCCUUACAUUUCCAGGCCUAUGUUUCUUCAUAUACUCCAUCUAUGUUAUAGAAUGUAAUAAAUGGGCCUUUGUGCCUAUAAAGCUAUACAACUUUCAGCAACGGAUCUCUUGGCUCUCGCAUCGAUGAAGAACGCAGCGAAAUGCGAUAAGUAAUGUGAAUUGCAGAAUUCAGUGAAUCAUCGAAUCUUUGAACGCACCUUGCGCUCCUUGGUAUUCCUAGGAGCAUGCCUGUUUGAGUGUCAUUAAUAUAUCAACCUCUUCAGCUUUCUGGUUGUUGAGUGUUGGAUGUGGGGGUCUUUCUUUGCUGGCCUCUUUUCUGAGGUCAGCUCCCCUGAAAUGCAUUAGCGGAACAAUCUGUUGACUGUUCAUUGGUGUGAUAACUAUCUACGCUAUUGACGGUGAAGCAAGUUCAGCUUCUAACGGUCCAUUGACUUGGACAACUUUUCAUUAAUGUGACCUCAAAUCAGGUAGGACU
rnacentral:rRNA from 1 species